ensembl:snRNA U12 U12 minor spliceosomal RNA
AUGCCUUAAACUGAUGAGUAAGGAAAAUAACGACGCGGGGUGACGCCCGUGUCCUCGUAACAAUUGCGAGAUGAAUUUUUGAAAGGGCAUAGGUCUACCUGUUGAGGUGACUCGCUUACUUCGCGAGAUGCCUCGCAGGAUUAGGACCUUUCCC